UCGAACGCUGAAGCCUGGCUUUUGUUGGGUGGAUGAGUGGCGAACGGGUGAGUAACACGUGAGUAACCUGCCCCCUUCUUUGGGAUAACGCCCGGAAACGGGUGCUAAUACUGGAUAUUCACUGAUCUUCGCAUGGGGGUUGGUGGAAAGGUUUGUUCUGGUGGGGGAUGGGCUCGCGGCCUAUCAGCUUGUUGGUGGGGUGAUGGCCUACCAAGGCUUUGACGGGUAGCCGGCCUGAGAGGGUGACCGGUCACAUUGGGACUGAGAUACGGCCCAGACUCCUACGGGAGGCAGCAGUGGGGAAUAUUGCACAAUGGGCGAAAGCCUGAUGCAGCGACGCCGCGUGAGGGAUGGAGGCCUUCGGGUUGUAAACCUCUUUCGCUCAUGGUCAAGCCGCAACUGUGGGUUGUGGUGAGGGUAGUGGGUAAAGAAGCGCCGGCUAACUACGUGCCAGCAGCCGCGGUAAUACGUAGGGCGCGAGCGUUGUCCGGAAUUAUUGGGCGUAAAGGGCUUGUAGGCGGUUGGUCGCGUCUGCCGUGAAAUCCUCUGGCUUAACUGGGGGCGUGCGGUGGGUACGGGCUGACUUGAGUGCGGUAGGGGAGACUGGAACUCCUGGUGUAGCGGUGGAAUGCGCAGAUAUCAGGAAGAACACC
rnacentral:rRNA from 1 species